AUUUUCGCUGCUCUUACUCAGUCUGCAGGUGGUGAGUUUUAAACAGUCAAAUAUUUGUAUUUAGUUUAUUCAGCUCAAACCCCUGGGUGAGGAUCCUCAGCAGACUCGGGCCAUUUCUUAUCCCAGACAAGAAAAAGAUGUAAAGAUGAGUGGUUCUAUUAUGCGUGUCCUGGCAACCAUUGAAAAAAGCUGAGCAGACUUGUGUUUUUUCUUACUCUGUAGAUUAUUCCUCCAUAAAAGAACUGAUUAUACUGAGUUAUUGAACUAAGGGUAAACGUAGAACCUGUUUAGCUGUUAUGACUCACUCGAAACUGAGCAUCGGCUGUUAUUUCACACAUUUAACUAAAGAUUUCCACUGAUAAGGAAUCAGUGAAGCUUCCUUUCUCUGUGAGAGUUUAUAGUCCAUUCUCUAGUCCUUCACUGAUGAUCUAUAAGGGUUUCUUUCAUGCUCCAUGUUCAUUUCUGUCAUGGCGUGACGUUUUUGUGUCUGUAAACUCUCCCGUGUUUCCUCUUAUCUGACUGUUCUUCCCCACUGUGAACAAUUCAGUGUCAAAUUACGUCUUCUGACCAAAGGAUUGAGUUUGACCGGUGGUGGUUGACUGAUGAGACCAGGUCUUGCUUGUAAGAUGGGACUGAAUCUUAUCCUAUGUUGACGUUAGGUCUUUGUAAAUAAUAUCGAGCGUGGUCUAGACCAGCUCUUUUUUUUGUAAAGCGUCUUGAAAUCAUGUCUGUUGUGAAAUGGCACUAUAACAAUAAAGACUGAUGAUUUGUUGCUAUUUACUGAACAAUCAGAACCAAGUACACAGCACAUCUGUGGAUGAAAACCUUUGCUUUAUUGGCUUGUCUCAGCCCUUUUGCCUGCCUGUCCUUCCUCUGUUUUCUUUCUUCUGGUAAUCGAUGCGAUAAGAAUGAGUUCACAACCCCAGACUUGAACAUUUCUUUCAGUAGCACAUUAUGGCUGAAAUUCUGCCACUACAAUAUAAAGCUGGUAUGAUAUUUUAUUUUAUUUUAUUUUCUUGACUGUGAUGACUGGGCAAAGAAAAUGUUUCCUGUGUUUAAUGUAUGUUUCUUUUUUUUUUUUUACACAUUCAAAAGUUGUAAAAAUCAACGUGAAGUACCGCAAUGUAAACUGAAAGCACUAUGCAGAAGUAGAGAAUAACAUAUUAUCUAUGUACAGUGUCAUGUAUCUUUGGAGAUAGAUCAGAUUACUGCUACUGGAAUUGUGUAAAUAAUGUUCUUAUUUUUUUUCUGCCUAUUCCACGCACAGAGAGCAAAAACAGCACAGAGAACAUGUUCAGAUGAUAUAUUAACCAACUGAUCCAAUAAUCAUUGACCGUCUUAAAGUGACAUCCUCACCAGUGUUUUGGUGUGAAAGACAUAUGUAUGGUAAAUGCAAUGUCUGGUUUGUGCAAUACUAUAAAGACUCUGCACUCUUCUAUUAUCUUACAGCAUCCAUCUGUGUACUUUUAUCUGAGGAGUGUUUCCAAUAAAGGGAUGGAAGUAACAGUG